AUAACUGUUAUCUCUAAACUACUGAGAGGUCAUAAACAUUUAUUUAAGCCACAUUCUUAUCAGCAAAAUAAAAAACUGAGCUAUAAUGAUUGUUUUUAAGGGCAGAAAGCAGAGAUAAGGAAUCCUUCUGCUCCCUAAAUGACGGAAAAGAGAGAAAAUCCACAGGCUGCCACUACAGCAUGUCAGCACUGUAACGGAAAAAAAAAGAUCCCACU